GCCAGUGUAGCGUAGUGGUUUGAGUGCUGAACUAUAACUCCGGAAACCAGGAUUUGAUUCCCACCUUGGCC